rnacentral:rRNA from 1 species
GAUGAACGCUAGCUACAGGCUUAACACAUGCCAGUCGAGGGGCAGCAUGGUCUUAGCUUGCUAAGGCCGAUGGCGACCGGCGCACGGGUGAGUAACACGUAUCCAACCUGCCGUCUACUCUUGGACAGCCUUCUGAAAGGAAGAUUAAUACAAGAUGGCAUCAUGAGUCCGCAUGUUCACAUGAUUAAAGGUAUUCCGGUAGACGAUGGGGCUGCGUUCCAUUAGAUAGUAGGCGGGGUAACGGCCCACCUAGUCUUCGAUGGAUAGGGGUUCUGAGAGGAAGGUCCCCCACAUUGGAACUGAGACACGGUCCAAACGCCUACGGGAGGCAGCAGUGAGGAAUAUUCGUCAAUGGGCGCAGGCCUGAACCAGCCAAGUAGCGUGAAGGAUGACUGCCCUAUGGGUUGUAAACUUCUUUUAUAAAGGAAUAAAGUCGGGUAUGUAUACCCGUUUGCAUGUACUUUAUGAAUAAGGAUCGGCUAACUCCGUG